GACGAACGCUGGCGGCGUGCUUAACACAUGCAAGUCGAACGGUGAACGAGGGAGCUUGCUCCCUCCGGAUCAGUGGCGAACGGGUGAGUAACACGUGAGCAAUCUGCCCUGGACUCUGGGAUAAGCGUUGGAAACGACGUCUAAUACCGGAUACGAGACGUGAAGGCAUCUUCAACGUCUGGAAAGAACUUCGGUCCAGGAUGAGCUCGCGGCCUAUCAGGUAGUUGGUGAGGUAACGGCUCACCAAGCCUACGACGGGUAGCCGGCCUGGGAGGGUGACCGGCCACACUGGGACUGAGACACGGCCCAGACUCCUACGGGAGGCAGCAGUGGGGAAUAUUGCACAAUGGGCGCAAGCCUGAUGCAGCAACGCCGCGUGAGGGACGACGGCCUUCGGGUUGUAAACCUCUUUUAGCAGGGAAGAAGCGAAAGUGACGGUACCUGCAGAAAAAGCACCGGCUAACUACGUGCCAGCAGCCGCGGUAACAC
rnacentral:rRNA from 1 species